rnacentral:tRNA from 2 species
GCCCCGUUCGUCUAUCGGCCUAGGACGCUGGCCUCUCACGCCGGUAACACGGGUUCAAAUCCCGUACGGGGUA